AGUCGCUCCCGGUGCCCGCUGCCCGCCGCCCGGCUCCCGGCUGCUCGCGGCCCCCUGCUCCUGCCUGGCGCUCUGGCCAGGCUCGGGCUCCGGAGGACAGGACCGCGCGACUGGCCGGCCGAUCCCUGGGCCGGCCGCGGGAGCAGGGCCCGGGAUGGUGCUCUCCCUGACGGGGCUCAUUGCCUUCUCCUUCCUGCAAGCCACCCUUGCCCUGAACCCCGAGGACCCCAACGUGUGCAGCCACUGGGAGAGCUAUGCUGUGACUGUCCAGGAAUCGUAUGCACACCCCUUCGAUCAGAUCUAUUACACACGAUGCACAGACAUCCUCAACUGGUUCAAGUGCACCAGGCACCGGAUCAGUUAUAAGACGGCGUAUCGGAGAGGCCUCCGGACCAUGUACCGGCGGAGGUCCCAGUGCUGCCCUGGCUACUAUGAGAGCGGAGACUUCUGCAUACCCCUGUGUACGGAGGAGUGUGUGCACGGCCGCUGCGUUUCCCCGGACACCUGCCACUGCGAGCCUGGCUGGGGAGGGCCCGACUGCUCCAGCGGCUGCGACAGCGACCACUGGGGGCCCCACUGCAGCAACCGGUGCCAGUGCCAGAACGGCGCCCUGUGUAACCCCAUCACAGGCGCCUGCGUGUGCGCCGCCGGCUUCCGUGGAUGGCGCUGCGAGGAGCUCUGCGCACCUGGCACCCACGGCAAGGGAUGCCAGCUGCCGUGCCAGUGCCGACACGGUGCCAGCUGCGACCCCCGCGCCGGCGAGUGCCUCUGCGCACCUGGCUACACCGGCGUCUACUGCGAGGAGCUGUGCCCUCCUGGGAGCCAUGGAGCUCACUGUGAGCUGCGCUGCCCCUGUCAGAAUGGGGGCACCUGCCACCACAUCACUGGCGAGUGUGCCUGCCCCCCAGGCUGGACGGGAGCAGUGUGUGCCCAGCCCUGCCCACCAGGGACAUUUGGCCAGAACUGCAGCCAGGAUUGUCCUUGCCACCAUGGAGGGCAGUGUGACCACGUGACUGGACAGUGCCACUGUACAGCUGGAUACAUGGGGGACAGGUGCCAAGAGGAGUGCCCCUUCGGGUCCUUCGGCUUCCAGUGCUCACAGCACUGUGACUGCCACAAUGGGGGGCAGUGUUCACCCACCACGGGUGCCUGCGAGUGUGAGCCUGGCUACAAGGGCCCACGCUGCCAGGAGCGACUGUGCCCGGAGGGCCUGCAUGGCCCAGGCUGCACCCUGCCCUGCCCCUGUGACGCUGACAACACCAUCAGCUGCCACCCAGUAACUGGAGCUUGUACCUGCCAGCCAGGCUGGUCUGGUCACCACUGCAAUGAAUCCUGCCCUGUUGGCUACUAUGGCGAUGGCUGCCAGCUGCCUUGCACCUGUCAGAAUGGCGCCGACUGCCACAGCAUCACUGGGGGCUGCACUUGUGCUCCGGGCUUCAUGGGAGAGGUCUGUGCCGUUUCCUGUGCAGCAGGGACCUAUGGCCCCAACUGCUCGUCCAUCUGUAGCUGUAACAAUGGUGGCACCUGCUCCCCAGUAGAUGGCUCCUGUACCUGCAAGGAAGGGUGGCAGGGCCUGGACUGCACCCUGCCAUGUCCCAGUGGGACGUGGGGCCUGAACUGCAACGAGAGCUGCACCUGUGCCAAUGGGGCAGCCUGCAGCCCCAUAGACGGCUCCUGCUCCUGCACUCCUGGCUGGCUGGGAGACACCUGUGAGCUGCCUUGCCCGGAUGGCACAUUUGGGCUGAACUGCAGUGAACACUGUGACUGCAGCCAUGCUGAUGGAUGUGACCCCGUCACAGGCCACUGCUGCUGCCUGGCCGGAUGGACAGGCAUCCGCUGUGACAGCACGUGUCCACCUGGCCGCUGGGGCCCCAACUGCUCUGUCUCCUGCAGCUGUGAGAAUGGAGGCUCCUGCUCCCCAGAGGAUGGGAGCUGCGAGUGUGCCCCUGGCUUCCGAGGACCCUUAUGCCAGAGAAUCUGCCCCCCUGGGUUCUAUGGCCACGGCUGCGCCCAGCCAUGCCCCCUCUGCGUGCACAGCAGCAGGCCCUGCCACCACAUCAGCGGCAUCUGUGAGUGCCUCCCAGGAUUCUCUGGAGCUCUCUGCAACCAAGCUAGCAAGUGGCAGAAACAAAUUCUGAUUCCGACAUGCAUGCUGAAGGGAUGAAAAGUGAAACAAGCACAGAGAUCUGCAUCAGAAGUGGCACCAUGUGGUCUGUGCCGAGUGCCAAGGUGUGUGCUGGAGGAUACUUUGGGCAGGACUGUGCCCAGCUCUGCUCCUGUGCCAACAACGGGACCUGCAGCCCUAUCGAUGGCUCCUGCCAGUGCUUUCCUGGAUGGAUUGGCAAGGACUGCUCACAGGCUUGCCCACCCGGGUUCUGGGGCCCCGCCUGCUUCCACGCAUGCAGCUGCCACAACGGGGCGAGCUGCAGCGCCGAGGACGGGGCCUGCCACUGCACCCCUGGCUGGACUGGACUCUUCUGCACACAGCGCUGCCCAGCAGCAUUUUUUGGGAAGGACUGUGGGCGCGUAUGCCAGUGUCAGAAUGGCGCCAGCUGUGACCACAUCAGUGGCAAGUGCACCUGCCGCACAGGCUUCACCGGGCAACACUGUGAGCAGAGAUGUGCCCCAGGAACCUUUGGCUAUGGGUGUCAGCAGCUAUGUGAGUGCAUGAACAACUCCACCUGUGACCAUGUCACCGGCACCUGUUACUGCAGCCCUGGCUUCAAAGGAAUCAGGUGUGACCAAGCUGCCCUCAUGAUGGAGGAGCUGAAUCCCUACACCAAGAUCAGCCCAGCACUGGGUGCAGAGCGGCACUCGGUGGGUGCUGUCACAGGCAUCAUGCUCCUGUUAUUCCUCAUUGUGGUGCUGCUGGGCCUAUUUGCCUGGCAUCGGCGGCGGCAGAAAGAGAAGGGCCGAGACCUGGCUCCCCGUGUCUCCUACACACCUGCCAUGAGGAUGACCAGCACCGACUACUCCCUCUCAGAUUUGUCUCAAAGUAGCAGCCAUGCCCACUGCUUUUCCAAUUCCAGCUACCACGCACUGGCAUGUGGGGGGCCUGCCACCAGCCAGGCCAGCACUCUGGACAGGAACAGCCCCACCAAGCUCAGUAACAAGUCCCUUGACAGAGACACAGCAGGCUGGACCCCCUACAGCUAUGUGAACGUGUUAGACUCCCAUUUCCAGAUCAGUGCCCUGGAGGCCAGGUACCCGCCCGAGGACUUCUACAUUGAACUUAGACACCUCAGCCGCCCCGCUGAGCCACACUCACCAGGU